rnacentral:rRNA from 1 species
GGCGAACGCUGGCGGCGUGCUUAACACAUGCAAGUCGAACGGAAAGGCCCUGCUUUUGUGGGGUACUCGAGUGGCGAACGGGUGAGUAACACGUGAGUAACCUGCCCUUGACUUUGGGAUAACUUCAGGAAACUGGGGCUAAUACCGGAUAGGAGCUCCUGCUGCAUGGUGGGGGUUGGAAAGUUUCGGCGGUUGGGGAUGGACUCGCGGCUUAUCAGCUUGUUGGUGGGGUAGUGGCUUACCAAGGCUUUGACGGGUAGCCGGCCUGAGAGGGUGACCGGCCACAUUGGGACUGAGAUACGGCCCAGACUCCUACGGGAGGCAGCAGUGGGGAAUAUUGCACAAUGGGCGGAAGCCUGAUGCAGCAACGCCGCGUGCGGGAUGACGGCCUUCGGGUUGUAAACCGCUUUCGCCUGUGACGAAGCGUGAGUGACGGUAAUGGGUAAAGAAGCACCGGCUAACUACGUG